rnacentral:rRNA from 1 species
UGGGGGAUAUUGCACAAUGGGCGAAAGCCUGAUGCAGCGACGCCGCGUGGGGGAUGAAGGCCUUCGGGUUGUAAACUUCUUUUGCUCUGAACAAGGCAUGCUAAUGGGUGUGUUGAGUGUAGGGGUUGAUUAGCGCCGGCUAACUACGUGCCAGCAGCCGCGGUAAUACGUAGGGCGCGAGCGUUGUCCGGAAUUAUUGGGCGUAAAGGGCUUGUAGGUGGCUGGUUGCGUCUGUCGUGAAAGCUCAUGGCUUAACUGUGGGUUUGCGGUGGGUACGGGCUGGCUUGAGCGCAGUAGGGGAGGCUGGAAUUCCUGGUGUAGCGGUGGAAUGCGUAGAUAUCAGGAGGAAUACCGGUGGCGAAGGCGGGUCUCUGGGCUGUUACUGACACUGAGGAGCGAAAGCAUGGGGAGCGAACAGG